rnacentral:snoRNA from 1 species
GCAAUGAUGUGUUCUCGUCUCUGAUAUCUUGCUGAGUAGCUGCGCACUACUGAGU